ensembl:lncRNA
GCCAAGGGAGAUAGGGCGGGGCAUCUGACCCCACCCUGCGUGGUCCAUACUGGUCCAUACUGGUUUAUACUGGUCCAUACUGGUUUAGACUGGUUUGAACUGGUUUAGACUGGUUUAUACUGGUUUAUACUGGUCCAUACUGGUCCAUACUGGUUUAUACUGGUCCAUACUGGUCCAUACUGGUUUAUACUGGUCCAUACUGGUUUAUACUGCUCCAUACUGGUUUUCCAGCCCUGGAACUGGGCCCGGAUUUGCCGUCUGGCCCCGCCCUGGCUGGUUUAUACUGGUUUAUACUGGUUUAUACUGGUUUAUACUGGUUUAUACUGGUUUAGACUGGUUUAGACUGGUUUGAACUGGUUUAUACUGGUUUAUACUGGUUUAUACUGGUUUAUACUGGUCCAUACUGGUUUAUACUGGUUCAUACUGGUUUUCCAGCCCUGGAACUGGGCCCGGAUCUGCCGUCUGGCCCCGCCCUGGCUGGUUUAUACUGGGUUAUACUGGUUUAUACUGGGUUAUACUGGUCUAUAAUGGGUUAUAUGGGGCUAUACUGGUUUGUACUGGUCCAUACUGGUUUAUACUGGUUUAUACUGGUUUAUACUGGUCCGUACUGGUUUUCCAGCCCUGGAACUGGGCCCGGAUCUGCCGUCUGGCCCCGCCCUGGCGCGCUGGCUGGGGGAGCCGGUGCGGGCCGUGCUGCUCCCCACCCGCCUCUUCCUCACCAACAAGAAAGGAUUCCCAGUGCUGGGCCGGGGCCACCAGCGCCUGCUGGGACAGCUGCUCAAGCUGGACGUGCAGAUCAUCGUGCAGGGAGCCCCCCGGCACGGCGGACGCCCCCUGGCCGCGUACCUGCAGUACCUGGAGCACCUGGGCCAGCACCGGCCCCCGCCCUCGGCCUACGAGCUGUACGCCCGCGGCUACGAGGAUUACCUGCAGAGCCCGCUGCAGGUGGGCUCCCAGUUCAGCCCAGUUCAGCCCAGUUCAGCCCAGUUCAGCCCAGUGACCUCCCAGUUCAAUCCCAGUUCAAUCCCAGUUCAAUCCCAGUUCAAUCCCAGUUCAAUCCCAGUUCAGCCCAGUGUGGCUACGAGGAUUACCUGCAGAGCCCGCUGCAGGUGGGCUCCCAGUUCAGCCCAGUCCAU